rnacentral:rRNA from 1 species
ACGGGGGUGGCAAGCGUUGUCCGGAAUUACUAGGCGUAAAGGGCAGGUAGGCGGAUCAGUAAGUCGGACGUUUAAUCCUCGGUCUUAAGCUGAGACAUGCGUUUGAUACUGUUGAUCUAGAAUGCGGCGGGGGAAGACGGAAUUACGGGUGUAGCGGUGGACUGAGCAGAUAUGCGGAUGAACUCCGAAGGUGAAGGCAGUAAACCAGAUUUUAAUUGACGCUGAACUGCGAAGGUGUGGUGAUCAGAGAG